UCUCUCUCUCCUGUUUCAAGAUGGGGACUUUGUGUUGCGCCCAAGUGAUUCCACCAAGGGCGGAUUGGACAACAUCAACAGAGAAAACAACAAACAAGUGGGGAAAAUUGAUUUCAAACCGAAAUCGAUUUGUCAAGAAAAAUGCAAGUCAAUCCACGAGAAAACAGGUAAGACGACACACACAAGAAAUGUUCCAGUUGUUUUCGUUCAUUUGAAAACUGGACUUCAAAAGAACAAAAAAAAAAAAAAAAAGAGUUUGAAACAUAACGAAGAUUUGGAAAAGGGAAAAAAAAAAAAACAGGCUCUUCCAAUUGCUGAUGAGCAUUUUUCUUACUGAUUAUUCUAAUUCCGAGAAGUGAUUUUUCGUUUGUAUUUCGGCUUGUUUCUUCUUUGGAUAACAAUGUUGUUCCACGAAAAAAAAAACGAAACUAAAUUGUUAUCCAAAGAUUUUUCCGACAUGUGCGUGUGUGUGUAUUUAAGACCUACAUAAUAAACGGAUUUGACUACAUUCCCCUCCCCCCUUGCCCCCCUCCCCCUCCACAUGAAAAAAUGUCGAUGCAAUUGCCAACUUGUUGUCUCCUGAAAAAACUAUUCGUCUCUGUUUGAUUUCGUGUUUUUUUUUUUCCCUACGUUUUUCUUUUUUAUUUCGUUCGACACCGACAAAGAGGUAAAGUCAACAAACCUACGAUUUCAAAAGAAAACAAAAAUGAACAAGACCUUUGAAAAAAAAAAAAACUUUACUUUCUUCUUGAUUCAUUUUUCUUUUUUUUCUCUAUGAAUGAUGAAAAUAAACGAAACAUUUCUCUUCCGAAA